CCUUCGAUAGCUCAGCUGGAAGAGCGUGGGACUGUAAUUGGUGAUAUUGGCAAAGUUGAAUCUCAUCCCAAGGUCGCUGGUUCGACCCCGGCUCGAAGGA